CAGUAGCCGCGGUAAAACAGAGGGUGCGAGCGUUAAUCGGAUUUACUGGGCGUAAAGCGUGCGUAGGCGGCUUUUUAAGUCGGAUGUGAAAUCCCUGAGCUUAACUUAGGAAUUGCAUUCGAUACUGGGAAGCUAGAGUAUGGGAGAGGAUGGUAGAAUUCCAGGUGUAGCGGUGAAAUGCGUAGAGAUCUGGAGGAAUACCGAUGGCGAAGGCAGCCAUCUGGCCUAAUACUGACGCUGAGGUACGAAAGCAUGGGGAGCAAACAGGAUUAGAUACCCCCGUAGUCCCUGUCUCUUAUAA
rnacentral:rRNA from 1 species